GAGACUGUCCCGCCCCCGCGGCGGUGUCAAGGUUACGUGAAACAACGAGAUGUGAUGAAACGUUUGUCUUCUUUGAUCCUUGCAGUGUCAAGGUGCAGUUUAAAGGGACUUCAGGGAUUUGAAGUAUGUCUGUGCAGCAAAAAUGGAUUCUCAAGAAGGCUCCUGAUGCAGCAGAUACAGUUGAUGCCGUGAAUCAAGAUCCACAGAGGACCUGGAGC